GCCUUCGUGGCAUAACGGUUAGCGCACCCGACUCAUAUUCGAGAGAUCCAGGUUCGAGUCCCGGCAAGGGCA
rnacentral:tRNA from 1 species